UAGGGGAGCGUUCUGUAAGCCUGCGAAGGUGUGCUGUGAGGCAUGCUGGAGGUAUCAGAAGUGCGAAUGCUGACAUAAGUAACGAUAAAGCGGGUGAAAAGCCCGCUCGCCGGAAGACCAAGGGUUCCUGUCCAACGUUAAUCGGGGCAGGGUGAGUCGACCCCUAAGGCGAGGCCGAAAGGCGUAGUCGAUGGGAAACAGGUUAAUAUUCCUGUACUUGGUGUUACUGCGAAGGGGGGACGGAGAAGGCUAUGUUGGCCGGGCGACGGUUGUCCCGGUUUAAGCGUGUAGGCUGGUUUUCCAGGCAAAUCCGGAAAAUCAAGGCUGAGGCGUGAUGACGAGGCACUACGGUGCUGAAGCAACAAAUGCCCUGCUUCCAGGAAAAGCCUCUAAGCAUCAGGUAACAUCAAAUCGUACCCCAAACCGACACAGGUGGUCAGGUAGAGAAUACCAAGGCGCUUGAGAGAACUCGGGUGAAGGAACUAGGCAAAAUGGUGCCGUAACUUCGGGAGAAGGCACGCUGAUAUGUAGGUGAAGUCCCUUGCGGAUGGAGCUGAAAUCAGUCGAAGAUACCAGCUGGCUGCAACUGUUUAUUAAAAACACAGCACUGUGCAAACACGAAAGUGGACGUAUACGGUGUGACGCCUGCCCGGUGCCGGAAGGUUAAUUGAUGGGGUCAGCGCAAGCGAAGCUCUUGAUCGAAGCCCCGGUAAACGGCGGCCGUAACUAUAACGGUCCUAAGGUAGCGAAAUUCCUUGUCGGGUAAGUUCCGACCUGCACGAAUGGCGUAAUGAUGGCCAGGCUGUCUCCACCCGAGACUCAGUGAAAUUGAACUCGCUGUGAAGAUGCAGUGUACCCGCGGCAAGACGGAAAGACCCCGUGAACCUUUACUAUAGCUUGACACUGAACAUUGAGCCUUGAUGUGUAGGAUAGGUGGGAGGCUUUGAAGUGUGGACGCCAGUCUGCAUGGAGCCGGCCUUGAAAUACCACCCUUUAAUGUUUGAUGUUCUAACGUGGACCCGUGAUCCGGGUUGCGGACAGUGUCUGGUGGGUAGUUUGACUGGGGCGGUCUCCUCCUAAAGAGUAACGGAGGAGCACGAAGGUUGGCUAAUCCUGGUCGGACAUCAGGAGGUUAGUGCAAUGGCAUAAGCCAGCUUGACUGCGAGCGUGACGGCGCGAGCAGGUGCGAAAGCAGGUCAUAGUGAUCCGGUGGUUCUGAAUGGAAGGGCCAUCGCUCAACGGAUAAAAGGUACUCCGGGGAUAACAGGCUGAUACCGCCCAAGAGUUCAUAUCGACGGCGGUGUUUGGCACCUCGAUGUCGGCUCAUCACAUCCUGGGGCUGAAGUAGGUCCCAAGGGUAUGGCUGUUCGCCAUUUAAAGUGGUACGCGAGCUGGGUUUAGAACGUCGUGAGACAGUUCGGUCCCUAUCUGCCGUGGGCGCUGGAGAACUGAGGGGGGCUGCUCCUAGUACGAGAGGACCGGAGUGGACGCAUCACUGGUGUUCGGGUUGUCAUGCCAAUGGCACUGCCCGGUAGCUAAAUGCGGAAGAGAUAAGUGCUGAAAGCAUCUAAGCACGAAACUUGCCCCGAGAUGAGUUCUCCCUGACCCUUUAAGGGUCCUGAAGGAACGUUGAAGACGACGACGUUGAUAGGCCGGGUGUGUAAGCGCAGCGAUGCGUUGAGCUAACCGGUACUAAUGAACCGUGAGG
rnacentral:rRNA from 1 species